rnacentral:rRNA from 1 species
UGGGGAAUUUUGGACAAUGGGCGAAAGCCUGAUCCAGCAAUGCCGCGUGUGUGAAGAAGGCCUUCGGGUUGUAAAGCACUUUUGUCCGGAAAGAAAGUCCUUGGCUCUAAUACAGUCGGGGGAUGACGGUACCGGAAGAAUAAGCACCGGCUAACUACGUGCCAGCAGCCGCGGUAAUACGUAGGGUGCAAGCGUUAAUCGGAAUUACUGGGCGUAAAGCGUGCGCAGGCGGUUUGCUAAGACCGAUGUGAAAUCCCCGGGCUCAACCUGGGAACUGCAUUGGUGACUGGCAGGCUAGAGUAUGGCAGAGGGGGGUAGAAUUCCACGUGUAGCAGUGAAAUGCGUAGAGAUGUGGAGGAAUACCGAUGGCGAAGGCAGCCCCCUGGGCCAAUACUGACGCUCAUGCACGAAAGCGUGGGGAGCAAACAGGAUUAGAUACCCUGGUAGUCCACGCCCUAAACGAUGUCAACUAGGUUGUUGGGGAUUCAUUUCCUUAGUAACGUAGCUAACGCGUGAAGUUGACCGCCUGGGGAGUACGGUCGCAAGAUU